rnacentral:rRNA from 1 species
AGUGAACGCUGGCGGUAGGCCUAACACAUGCAAGUCGAACGGCAGCACAGUAAGAGCUUGCUCUUACGGGUGGCGAGUGGCGGACGGGUGAGGAAUACAUCGGAAUCUACUUUUUCGUGGGGGAUAACGUAGGGAAACUUACGCUAAUACCGCAUACGACCUACGGGUGAAUGCAGGGGAUCUUCGGACCUUGCGCGAUUGAAUGAGCUGAUGGCGGAUUAGCUAGUUGGCGGGGUAAAGGCCCACCAAGGCGACGAUCCGUAGACGGUCUGAGAGUAUGAUCAGCAACACUGGAAAUGAGACACGGUCAAGACUCCUGCGGGAGGCAGCAGUCGGGAAUAUUGGACAAUGGGCGCAAGCCUGAUCCAGACAUACCGAGUGGGUGAAGAAGGCGUUCGGGUUGUAAAGCCCUCUUGUUGGGAAAGAAAAGCAGCCGCUUAAUACACCGCUGUUCUGACGGUACCCAAAGAAUAAGCACCGGCUAAAUUCGUG